rnacentral:lncRNA from 1 species
CCGGGAUCCCCGCCCCAGCCUGGCAAUAACGGCCGCGCCCCGGCUCGUCUCUCUCGCGCCUUGUGCUUAGCGCUGGCAGGGCAGGCAGUACUGGGCACCACCGCAGCAGCGCCGCCUCCCGCUUGGCGCCAAAACCAACAGCGGUCCCGAGCUGACCGGCGGCGGGGGCUGGCCGAUCCCGACGGGCCAGGAAGAAGCGGGGGAUGAGGGGACAGCCAGGGGCUGCUCACCACCGUGUCCCCUGCAUGGCAGCUUGAGCACGGUCGGGGUCUCCGGGCGAGUGUGACAGGCGGACGGGAGAGAACCCCCUGUUCGGGCACUGCCCGCUCCAGCAGGGCUGAGCUGCCCCCGGGGCUUAGGGGGUCACUGCAGGGCGAGCUGGAAGCAGAAGAGGAAACCCGCGGGAAUCCUGCAGAUGCGGGGCGCCCCUCCGCGUUGCCCCAGAAAGAAGUGCAAUUAAUUUUGCUGAGCUGCAUUUUUCUUCAGAUCUCAACUAGCUUUUGAACAUUCAUGUUUGCUUUUGACUUUAAAUUUUCUUGCUCCUGUUAAGCUCUGAUCAGUGCAAUGAUUUUUCCGAUGUUUUAUUUAUUUCCAGUGGCACCCAUUGCUUUCUAAUCAGAGAAGAAGCCUAUGUCCAAGUAACCCCCAAGCUAAGGAUAAAGAAGGGAAGUAACAGAGAUUGGAUAGGAGAAGGGGCUCAACAUCUGUACACGUACAUGUAUAAACUUGUAGCCAAGUUAUUUGUCAAACAUGACAUUGUCAGCUAGCAAGUUUCUCAGCUAUCCCCACAGAUGCAAGUCUUCAGAAGGAUCUUGACUAUACAGAGAGAAUGAGAGCUUGUGAAUGAACUCAGGAAGGCCCUUAAAUGCAAAAAUCAUAUCUGUUUAAUAGUCUUUCAUCUGUUCUUUCCUAGAAAUUGAACACAUUUGGUUAGGUCUGUGACAGAAUGGGAUAUGUCUUUGUCAAAUUAUGAAUUCCAUUUUGUACUGUGUAUUGACAUGUCUAAACUAUCCCAGUUCUUAUACUGUUGCCCUUCUAGGCAAAGGUUCUUGACAUUUUGUUGAAAGCCUAUCACUAAAAAGCAGUCAACCCUGCAAUCCCCAUGAAUAAAGGACUUUUUUUAUUUGGUGCCCUACA